rnacentral:rRNA from 1 species
AUACGGAGGGGGCUAGCGUUGUUCGGAAUUACUGGGCGUAAAGCGCGUGUAGGCGGAUCGUUAAGUCAGGGGUGAAAGCCCGGGGCUCAACCCCGGAACUGCCCUUGAUACUGGCGAUCUUGAGUCCGGAAGAGGUGGGCGGAAUUCCCGGUGUAGAGGUGAAAUUCGUAGAUAUCGGGAGGAACACCAGUGGCGAAGGCGGCUCACUGGUCCGGUACUGACGCUGAGACGCGAAAGCGUGGGGAGCAAACAGGAUUAGAAACCCUAGUAGUCC